UACGUAGGGUGCGAGCGUUAAUCGGAAUUACUGGGCGUAAAGCGUGCGCAGGCGGUGACCCAAGUCAGAUGUGAAAUCCCCGGGCUUAACCUGGGAACUGCAUUUGAAACUAGGUCGCUAGAGUGUGUCAGAGGGGGGUGGAAUUCCGCGUGUAGCAGUGAAAUGCGUAGAGAUGCGGAGGAACACCGAUGGCGAAGGCAGCCCCCUGGGAUAACACUGACGCUCAUGCACGAAAGCGUGGGGAGCAAACAGGAUUAGAUACCCUUGUAGU
rnacentral:rRNA from 1 species